GCCGCUGUAGCUCAAUGGUAGAACGCUUACUUUGUAACUAAGAAACGGAAGUUCGAUUCUUUCCAGCGGCA